GAGGGUAUAGCUCAGUGGUAGAGUGCGGUGCUUAGCAUGCACGAGGUCCUGGGUUCAAUCCCUGGUACCUCCA
rnacentral:tRNA from 1 species